AAUAGGUAGGUAGGUACUUAAUAAUUCGAAACUGUAACGCGUCUCUCAAUAUAGAAAUAACUCUUAAAAAGUAAUUUCUAUUAGUUAUCUCUUUGUUAUUUCCCAAUAUCUCGGUAAAUAUUCAUCAUUGGUCUAAAAUGAAAAUAGGUGAAAUGACGCGUGUCAAAAUUUCACGUAGGACAAAACCAUAACCUCAAUUUUGAUAAAAGUGGACUUGGACCCUCUCAGGUACAGAGUCAUAUUUUAAUGAUUCCGUGUUGUGUUCGUGAACAAAAUUUAUUGCAAUAAUAUUUUUCUGGAAUAAUUAGGAUUUGCAUAUCUGCACGUCGUCCGUACGAUACUAACUACUAGCUUGUGACUACUCAACAAGUGGCUGUUGCAGAAUUCUGAACAGAGUGCAGCUUGCUAUUUGACUUUGCACUGCGAGCGUCUGAUGUUGUGAUGUUCAUGAUUUUGUUGUAAAAGAAAACAAAUAAUUUUUGAUAAUUUACAUUACGAUAAAUAUUGAGAAUUUAAAUUUGGGAGGUCCGAGGAAUACCUACCAUCAUUACGAUUUAGCGGUGUAAAAGCUGCUGAAAUAAAACCUAGUCAGACAGUGAACGGACAUACAAUGAAUAUUAGGUGUUGCGUACCAGGAUGCAAAACUGUUAAUAUUAAUGUUACUAGUGAUGAAGAUAUCAGAUUAUUACGACCUAAAAGAGAAAAUUUAAUUAACUGGAGUUUAAUAUUACAAGUAAGGUUAACUUUGGACAGUUGCAUAUGUGAAAGGCAUUUCCGACGCGAAGAUCUUAGAUAUCCAAGAGUAUUUAUAGAUGGUCCAAUUAUAAUAAAACCAUCAUUAGUUCCUUCUGCAAUGCCAAUUCCAAUUGAUAAUGUUGAGGAGAAGUAUGGUUCAAAAAGACCCUCCUUUGAUGUCGGAUCAAACAAAAAAAAAAAAAAAAAUUCCAAUUAAUGCUACUCAAUCUUAUGCUAGAAAUAAUUUACAAGAUAAUACAGAUUAGUGUUCUCCAUCUAAUAAUUCCAUGUCAACUGAUGACUGUUCAACCAUAGAAUAAAGGCUAAUACACAACUCGAGUAAUACUUACUACUUAACUUUAAAUAUUUCUGGAAUUCUAAAUAUUAUGAAACCAAACCGUUAAUUUAAUUCAUUAUUUUUAUUGUAUUUACAUAUUUUUAAGUGUAUUUAUAAGUCAUUUGUAUUUUUGUAAAAAAAAACUAUCAUUGUAAUCUUUUAUGUUAAUUUUAAUAACACUACAUUUAGUGUUAUAACGAGGGUUCGAGAACUGCCAGGAAUAGUAAAUACAUUCCAAGUUAUUAUUCAUAUUCUAAUUAAAUUUAUUUCAAACUGGAAUGGUACAAUUCCUGCAAACAAAAAAUUAUGUAUAUGUCUGUUAGGUUAUAUAGAAAAAUGACAACUUUAUAGCAAACUAUUUAUACCACAUGAUGAACAAUGUAUAUUGUUAUGUUUUACACACAGUGGUGCUGAGUUCAGUUAAAAAUAGUGGUUCUUCGAAAACUAGAAGGUCUAUUUUCAUUGGAUUUUCGUAUAUAAAGUGUUGCCAUUCGUCACAUUAUAUCAUACUAUAGUAAUAGUAGCAAAUUAGUACAAAUUAGUAUUUUUUUCUAUAUAGAUAUUUAAAACUACUUAUAAUGUAAUUGAUUGAUAUAAUAAUUUUGAUAUUUCACCAUUAUAUGUUUAACCUACGUUUGUUAUUAUCCGAAGUUAAUA
rnacentral:lncRNA from 1 species